GUGGGGAAUAUUGCACAAUGGGCGGAAGCCUGAUGCAGCGACGCCGCGUGAGGGAUGACGGCCUUCGGGUUGUAAACCUCUUUCAGCAGGGACGAAGCGUAAGUGACGGUACCUGCAGAAGAAGCACCGGCUAACUAUGUGCCAGCAGCCGCGGUAAUACGUAGGGUGCGAGCGUUGUCCGGAAUUACUGGGCGUAAAGAGCUCGUAGGCGGUUUGUCACGUCGUCUGUGAAAUCCUAGGGCUUAACCCUGGACGUGCAGGCGAUACGGGCUGACUUGAGUACUACAGGGGAGACUGGAAUUUCUGGUGUAGCGGUGGAAUGCACAGAUAUCAGGAAGAACACCGAUGGCGAAGGCAGGUCUCUGGGUAGUAACUGACGCUGAGGAGCGAAAGCAUGGGUAGCGAACAGG
rnacentral:rRNA from 1 species